AGUGAAGCGGCAACAGCUCAAAUUUGAAAUCUGGCUCUCGGGCCCGAGUUGUAAUUUGUAGAGGAUACUUUUGAUGCGGUGCCUUCCGAGUUCCCUGGAACGGGACGCCAUAGAGGGUGAGAGCCCCGUCUGGUUGGAUGCCAAAUCUCUGUAAAGUUCCUUCGACGAGUCGAGUAGUUUGGGAAUGCUGCUCUAAAUGGGAGGUAUAUGUCUUCUAAAGCUAAAUACCGGCCAGAGACCGAUAGCGCACAAGUAGAGUGAUCGAAAGAUGAAAAGCACUUUGAAAAGAGAGUUAAAAAGUACGUGAAAUUGUUGAAAGGGAAGCGUUUAUGACCAGACUUGGGCUUGGUUGAUCAUCUGGGGUUCUCCCCAGUGCACUCUUCCAGUCCAGGCCAGCAUCAGUUUUCGCCGGGGGAUAAAGACUUCGGGAAUGUGGCUCUCUUCGGGGAGUGUUAUAGCCCGUUGUGUAAUACCCUGGCGGGGACUGAGGUUCGCGCAUCUGCAAGGAUGCUGGCGUAAUGGUCAUCAACGACCCGUCUUGAAACACGGACCAAGGAGUCGUCUUCGUAUGCGAGUGUUCGGGUGUCAAACCCCUACGCGUAAUGAAAGUGAACGCAGGUGAGAGCUUCGGCGCAUCAUCGACCGAUCCUGAUGUUCUCGGAUGGAUUUGAGUAAGAGCAUACGGGGCCGGACCCGAAAGAAGGUGAACUAUGCCUGUAUAGGGUGAAGCCAGAGGAAACUCUGGUGGAGGCUCGCAGCGGUUCUGACGUGCAAAUCGA
rnacentral:rRNA from 1 species